rnacentral:rRNA from 1 species
UACGGGGGGGGGCAAGCGUUGUUCGGAAUUACUGGGCGUAAAGGGCUCGUAGGUGGCCAACUAAGUCAGACGUGAAAUCCCUCGGCUUAACCGGGGAACUGCGUCUGAUACUGGAUGGCUUGAGUUUGGGAGAGGGAUGCGGAAUUCCAGGUGUAGCGGUGAAAUGCGUAGAUAUCUGGAGGAACACCGGUGGCGAAGGCGGCAUCCUGGACCAACACUGACACUGAUGAGCGAAAGCCAGGGGAGCAAACGGG